GACGAACGCUGGCGGCGUGCUUAACACAUGCAAGUCGAACGGUAAGGCCCUUCGGGGUACACGAGUGGCGAACGGGUGAGUAACACGUGGGUGAUCUGCCCUGCACUUCGGGAUAAGCCUGGGAAACUGGGUCUAAUACCGGAUAGGACCACUGCCUGCAUGGGUGGUGGUGGAAGGCUUUUGCGGUGUGGGAUGGGCCCGCGGCCUAUCAGCUUGUUGGUGGGGUGAUGGCCGACCAAGGCGACGACGGGUAGCCGGCCUGAGAGGGUGACCGGCCACACUGGGACUGAGAUACGGCCCAGACUCCUACGGGAGGCAGCAGUGGGGAAUAUUGCACAAUGGGCGCAAGCCUGAUGCAACGACGCCGCGGGAGGGAUGACGGCCUUCGGGUUGUAAACCUCUUUCAGCACCGACGAAGCGCAAGUGACGGUAGGUGCAGAAGAAGGACCGGCCAACUACGUGCCAGCCGCCGCAGUAA
rnacentral:rRNA from 1 species